rnacentral:tmRNA from 1 species
GGGGACGUCAUGAUUAGACGUGUACGACAGCUCUUUAACAUCUGCAUACCGACUUUGACUAAGCAAGUCGUUAAAAAGAGUCAAACAAUAACUGUCAACAACAUCAAGACAGCCUGGAACAAAGUCGUCGCUUUUGUCGACAGACUCACUGCUCCAUCUUUUGCGCAAUUGGCUUUCAACCCAGUUGCCUAAAGACAUUCAUCAACUCACUUGCUUGUGGGUAGUUGAUGGGUGGAAAAACACAUAAGCCGUAGUCCUGACCCUUGUCCGGUCUAGAUCAAAUCCAAAAAGACAACCCUCCGCUAGUCUAUAGGUUAGCUUAUUUCCUAGACUUAAGUAGAGGUUAAAUCCAAAAUAAGCUAAGUAUGUAGAUGAUGUUAAAAGCCGUAUACGGACGAGGGUUCAUUGCCCUCCGUCUCCACAC